UGGGGAAUAUUGCACAAUGGAGGGAACUCUGAUGCAGCGACGCCGCGUGAACGAAGAAGGCUUUCGAGUCGUAAAGUUCUUUUAUAUGGGAAGAUAAUGACGGUACAAUAAGAAAAAGCCCCGGCUAACUACGUGCCAGCAGCCGCGGUAAUACGUAGGGGGCUAGCGUUGUCCGGAAUCACUGGGCGUAAAGGGUUCGCAGGCGGAAAUGCAAGUCAGGUGUAAAAGGCAGUAGCUUAACUACUGUAAGCAUUUGAAACUGCAUAUCUUGAGAAGAGUAGAGGUAAGUGUAAUUUUGAGUGUAGCGAUGAAAUGCGUAGAUAUUAAAAAGAAUACCGGUGGCGAAGGCGACUUACUGGGCUCAUUCUGACGCUGAGGAACGAAAGCGUGGGUAGCAAACAGG
rnacentral:rRNA from 1 species